AUAUAUAUAUCCAUAUAUUUUGAGAGAGAGAUAUAAGAGAAAUGAGAGAAAAUAAAUGACAAUUCUUAGCUUAAAGGGGGUAUAUAUAGAGGGUUAUCAUAAUGGUAAAUGACCAAAAUACCUUUAAAAAUCAAUUAAUGCCAAAUCUGCCCUUCAGUGAUCUAUCUGGUAGGAUGAAGUAAACUGGCCAUAACUUUUUACUCCGAUGUCUAAAGUGGAUGAAACCAAUUUCAUUGGAAAUAAGACUCUUAGGGCUUUCCGUUGAUAUAUAGCAGCUCAUACAGUUCAUUAUGUACAAGGAGUUAUGACCGUUUGAAGUUAACCAAAAAAUUGCCUGGCUGCAGUAUUUUUUUCCUGCACAUUUUACUGUUCACAGUUCGAUCGGAAUGGUCGUAGUUUGAUCGGAAUAGUCAUAACUCAUCGCUCGAGUGUCCGUUUUGGGUGAUCCACCUAUCGUUGGAAAGUUUAUUCGAUGAUAUAUGAAAUGGUGGGUCGAAAUCAAAUAAAUGACACACAUAAAAAUUAUAAAUCAUUCUUGAAGAUAGGAUCUCGACACAUUUACGCAUAAAAUUUCAACAAAAAAAAUUUUCGGGGUAUUACAAGUCCCAAUAGUAUAUUAAGUUUUUAGGUUAUAAAAGGUUAGGAAGGUAAAUGUCUAGAAGAAACCUAAGUUAAACUGUAUAAGAUUCCCACACGAGGGUACGACCACUCCCAAACCGUACUAUACCAUACUAGUGGUACCCACCACUCGUACCCUAGGCCUCACCUUGGACCCCAACGCUAUAACACAUACGACCACCAAGGAUGAAUCUUAUCCAACCAUAUGAUAAGUAUCCUAAAACCAUACCUUAGGCAAAAUAAAAUCACCUAUGAUAAAUAAAGGGUAUCAUACGAUUGACAUCACACCACUAGUAACCUAACAUUUGACUAGUAUGUUCCAUUUGUACCUUGGACAGAAACCAACCAAACCAUACUGAUGAACAUACAAGAUGAGGACCCUAAACUGUACCUUAUCAUACAAAAAGUACACAAAGUCAUAUGAUGUUCAGAGGGCUAAAAACACAAGAAAUUUCUAAGGACCAGAAUCCAGGGUGUUUCUUAGGCACACCAAUAUGAUCAUCCUCCAGCCUUGUCAGGUAUCAAUAUGUCAUCAUAAUAUUUUUCGACAUUAUCGGGUGUAAAUAUGUCAUCAUAAUCAUCCUCUGACCAUGUUGUGUAUCAAUAUCAUCAUAAUAUCCUCUGGCCUUAUUGAGUACCAAUAUGUCAUCAUAAUCAUCCUCUGCCCUUACCUGGUAUCAAUAUUAUUUUAAUAUUCUGAGGCCUUACCAGUUAUCAAUAUGUCAUCAUAAUCAUUCUCUAACCUUGUCGAGUAUCACAAUAAUCAUAAUAUCCUAUGACACUACCGGGUAUCAAUAUGUCAUCAUAUUCAUCCUUCGAGAUUUAAUCAGGUAAAUAAUCAAUGUCAUAAGUGCCAAUGUAGUAAAACAUCAAUAUUUAGAGCAUAACUAAUAGUAUAAACUCCCAUAUAAUCAACACAACCAGAAAUUGGGCAUAUGGCAACAAAUUUUUUAACAAUGAUUUAGAAAUUGUUGCUAUAGACUGUCUAUAUCAACGAUUACAACCUUUGCCAAAAAUUUUUACUCUAA
rnacentral:lncRNA from 1 species